UGUGAUGGGGAGAAGACAUUGUGUCUUCGAGUCGUUGAUUUCACACUGCCGAGAAAAGCCUCUAGAUAGAAAAUAGGUGCCCGUACCGCAAACCGACACAGGUAGUCAAGAUGAGAAUUCUAAGGUGAGCGAGCGAACUCUCGUUAAGGAACUCGGCAAAAUGACCCCGUAACUUCGGGAGAAGGGGUGCUCUUUAGGGUUAACGCCCAGAAGAGCCGCAGUGAAUAGGCCCAAGCGACUGUUUAUCAAAAACACAGGUCUCUGCUAAACCGUAAGGUGAUGUAUAGGGGCUGACGCCUGCCCGGUGCUGGAAGGUUAAGAGGAGUGGUUAGCUUCUGCGAAGCUACGAAUCGAAGCCCCAGUAAACGGCGGCCGUAACUAUAACGGUCCUAAGGUAGCGAAAUUCCUUGUCGGGUAAGUUCCGACCCGCACGAAAGGCGUAACGAUUUGGGCACUGUCUCAACGAGAGACUCGGUGAAAUCAUAGUACCUGUGAAGAUGCAGGUUACCCGCGACAGGACGGAAAGACCCCGUGGAGCUUUACUGUAGCCUGAUAUUGAAAUUCGGCACAGCUUGUACAGGAUAGGUAGGAGCCUUUGAAACGUGAGCGCUAGCUUACGUGGAGGCGCUGGUGGGAUACUACCCUAGCUGUGUUGGCUUUCUAACCCGCACCACU
rnacentral:rRNA from 1 species